UGACCGCUGGCGGCGUGCCUAAUACAUGCAAGUCGAGCGACCAGACGAGGAGCUUGCUCCUCUGACGUUAGCGGCGGACGGGUGAGUAACACGUGGAUAACCUACCUAUAAGACUGGGAUAACUUCGGGAAACCGGAGCUAAUACCGGAUAAUAUAUUGAACCGCAUGGUUCAAUAGUGAAAGACGGUUUUGCUGUCACUUAUAGAUGGAUCCGCGCCGCAUUAGCUAGUUGGUAAGGUAACGGCUUACCAAGGCGACGAUGCGUAGCCGACCUGAGAGGGUGAUCGGCCACACUGGAACUGAGACACGGUCCAGACUCCUACGGGAGGCAGCAGUAGGGAAUCUUCCGCAAUGGGCGAAAGCCUGACGGAGCAACGCCGCGUGAGUGAUGAAGGUCUUCGGAUCGUAAAACUCUGUUAUUAGGGAAGAACAAAUGUGUAAGUAACUAUGCACGCCUUGACGGUACCUAAUCAGAAAGCCACGGCUAACUACGUG
rnacentral:rRNA from 1 species